UCUUGUACACACCGCCCGUCACACCAUGGAAGUUUGUAACGCCCAAAGUCGGUGGCCUAACCAUUUGGAGGGAGCCGCCUAAGGCGGGACAGAUGACUGGGGUGAAGUCGUAACAAGGUAGCCGUAGGAGAACCUGCGGCUGGAUCACCUCCUUU
rnacentral:misc_RNA from 1 species